rnacentral:lncRNA from 1 species
GCCAAGCAAGAAAACAAGAGAGGAAAGAAAGAAAAUAAGGAAAACAAACCCUAGCCAAGGAAAAUUCAAGAGAAAGUGUGAAAAUCCAAGGAAUUAAGCAAGGUAAAGUGAAAAUUCUUUAUUUUUACUUGAGAUUUACAAUACCCAUGCUUUAUUUUCUUAUUUCUAUGGUUGAGAAGCAUGAUUUCAUAGUGAAUAAGUGGUAGGCCGAAUGGGUAUGGUGAGAGAAAUGAUGUUGGAAUUGUUUGAUUUUAAGUUAUGUUAGUGAUUAAGGUUAGUUUAGCAUAUUUAGAAGCAA